AGAGUUUGAUCCUGGCUCAGGAUGAACGCUGGCGGCGUGCUUAAUACAUGCAAGUCGAACGGAUGGAUGCCAGGCCCAGCCUGGCUGAAGUCAGUGGCGAACGGGUGAGUAAUACGUAGGCAACCUGCCCCCAUGUGCGGAACAACGGAUGGAAACGUCCGCUAAUGCCGCAUAGGUGGCGGAGGGGCAUCCCUCCUCCAUUAAAGGCCCUCAUGGGGCCGCGCGGGGAUGGGCCUACGGUGCAUUAGCUUGUUGGCGGGAUGACAGCCCACCAAGGCGAUGAUGCAUAGCCGGCCUGAGAGGGUGGACGGCCACAUUGGGACUGAGACACGGCCCAGACUCCUACGGGAGGCAGCAGUAAGGAAUUUUCGGCAAUGGGGGAAACCCUGACCGAGCAACGCCGCGUGAGCGAUGAAGGCCUUCGGGUCGUAAAGCUCUGUUGCGAAGGAAGAACACCGCCAUCAGGAAAUGGAUGGCGGCUGACGGUACUUCGUCAGAAAGUCACGGCUUACUACGUGCCAGCAGCCGCGGUAAUACGUAGGUGGCAAGCGUUAUCCGGAUUUAUUGGGCGUAAAGGGUGCGCAGGCGGCCUGCCAAGUUCGAGGUGAAAGCGUUGGGCUCAACCCAAUACAGCUUCGAAUACUGGCAGGCUCGAGUGCAGGAGAGGAUGUCGGAAUUCCAUGUGUAGCGGUAAAAUGCGUAGAUAUAUGGAGGAACACCAGCGGCGAAGGCGGACAUCUGGCCUGCAACUGACGCUGAGGCACGAAAGCGUGGGGAGCAAAUAGGAUUAGAUACCCUAGUAGUCCACGCCCUAACCGAUGAGGAACUAGGUGUUGGAGCGAUCCAGUGCUGCAGCUAACCCAAUAAGUUCUCCGCCUGAGGAGUAUGCACGCAAGUGUGAAACUUAAAGGGAAUUGACGGGGGCCCCGCACAAGCGGUGGAGUAUGCGGUUUAAUUCGACGCAACGCGAAGAACCUUACCAGGCCUUGACAUCCCCUGCAAAUCCAUGGAGACAUGGCAGGAGGCCAUCAGGGUGACAGGUGGUGCAUGGUUGUCGUCAGCUCGUGUCGUGAGAUGUUGGGUUAAGUCCCGCAACGAGCGCAACCCCUGUCUUCAGUUACCAUCAUUCGGUUGGGGACUCUGGAGAGACUGCCGGUGACAAACCGGAGGAAGGUGGGGAUGACGUCAAAUCAUCAUGCCCCUUAUGGCCUGGGCUACACGCGUACUACAAUGGCGCAGACAGCGGGAUGCGCGGCAGCGAUGCCAAGCCAAUCCCCCAAACUGCGUCCCAGUUCGGAUUGGAGUCUGCAAUUCGGCUCCAUGAAGUCGGAAUCGCUAGCAAUCGCGGAUCAGCAUGCCGCGGUGAAUACGUUCUCGGGGCUUGCACUCACCGCCCGUCA
rnacentral:rRNA from 1 species